rnacentral:rRNA from 1 species
GGGGGGGGGGGGGGGGGGGCGGGGGGGGUGGGGGGCGGGGGGGGGGGCCCGGGGGGGGGGGGGGGGUCGGGGGGCGGGCGGGGGAGUGACGCGUGGGUAACCUGCCCUUGACUUUGGGAUAACUUCAGGAAACUGGGGCUACUACCGGCUAGGAGCUCCUUCUGCAUGGUGGGGGGUGGAAACUUUCGGCGGUUGGGGAUGGACUCGCGGCUUCUCAGCUUGUUGGUGGGGUAGUGGCUUACCAAGGCUUUGACGGGUAGCCGGCCUGAGAGGGUGACCGGCCACAUUGGGACUGAGAUACGGCCCAGACUCCUACGGGAGGCAGCAGUGGGGAAUAUUGCACAAUGGGCGGAAGCCUGAUGCAGCAACGCCGCGUGCGGGAUGACGGCCUUCGGGUUGUAAACCGCUUUCGCCUGUGACGAAGCGUGAGUGACGGUAAUGGGUAAAGAAGCACCGGCUAACUACGUG